AACGAACGCUGGCGGCGUGCUUAACACACGCAAGUCGAGCGAGAAAGCUUCCUUCGGGAAGUGAGUACAGCGGCGAACGGGUGAGUAACACGUGGGUAAUCUGCCCCGAGGUUGGGGAUAACGGCCCGAAAGGGCCGCUAAUACCGAAUAAUGCAUGUCGUUCCCCGGAACGAUAUGCCAAAGAAGGUUUCGGCCUUCGCCUUAGGAUGAGCCCGCGGCCCAUUAGCUUGUUGGUAGGGUAACGGCCUACCAAGGCGAUGAUGGGUAGCUGGUCUGAGAGGAUGAUCAGUCACACUGGAACUGAGACACGGUCCAGACUCCUACGGGAGGCAGCAGUGGGGAAUAUUGCACAAUGGGCGAAGGCCUGAUGCAGCAACGCCGCGUGGGUGAUGAAGGCUUUCGGGUCGUAAAGCCCUGUCAGAGGGGAAGAACAAGCAGAGCAGGAAAUGGCUCUGCCCUGACGGUACCCUCAAAGGAAGCACCGGCUAACUCCGUGCCAGCAGCCGCGGUAACACGGGGGGUGCGAGCGUUGCUCGGAAUCACUGGGCGUAAAGCGCGUGUAGGCGGAUUGUUAAGUCAGAUGUGAAAUCCCAGGGCUUAACCCUGGAACUGCAUUUGAAACUGGCAGUCUAGAGUACGGUAGAGGGAAGGGGAAUUCCCGGUGUAGAGGUGAAAUUCGUAGAUAUCGGGAGGAAUACCGGUGGCGAAGGCGCCUUCCUGGGCCGAUACUGACGCUGAGACGCGAAAGCGUGGGGAGCGAACAGGAUUAGAUACCCUGGUAGUCCACGCCGUAAACGAUGAGCACUAGGUGUUGCGGGUAUCGACCCCUGCAGUGCCAAAGUUAACGCAUUAAGUGCUCCGCCUGGGGAGUACGGUCGCAAGAUUAAAACUCAAAGGAAUUGACGG
rnacentral:rRNA from 1 species